AGACUUACCUGCAGGGGAGAUACCAUGAUCAUGAAGGUGGUUUUCCAGGGCAAGGUUUACUCAUUGUAUUCUGGAGGUGAUGACCCCUGCAAUUUCUCCAAAUGUGGGAAACUCAACUGCAUAAUUUCUGGUAGUGGGGGACUGUGUUCCUGCUUUCCCCUU